GCCUACACAUGCAAGCCGAGCGGUAGAAGUCCUUCGGGACUUUGAGAGCGGCGUACGGGUGCGUAACACGUGUGCAACCUACCUUUAUCAGGGGAAUAGCCUUUCGAAAGGAAGAUUAAUACCCCAUAAUAUAUUGAAUGGCAUCAUUUAAUAUUGAAAACUCCGGUGGAUAGAGAUGGGCACGCGCAAGAUUAGAUAGUUGGUGAGGUAACGGCUCACCAAGUCAAUGAUCUUUAGGGGUCCUGAGAGGGAGAUCCCCCACACUGGUACUGAGACACGGACCAGACUCCUACGGGAGGCAGCAGUGAGGAAUAUUGGACAAUGGGUGAGAGCCUGAUCCAGCCAUCCCGCGUGAAGGAUGACGGUCCUAUGGAUUGUAAACUUCUUUUGUAUAGGGAUAAACCUACUCUCGUGAGAGUAGCUGAAGGUACUAUACGAAUAAGCACCGGCUAACUCCGUGCCAGCAGCCGCGGUAAUACGGAGGGUGCAAGCGUUAUCCGGAUUUAUUGGGUUUAAAGGGUCCGUAGGCGGGCCGAUAAGUCAGUGGUGAAAUCUCAUAGCUUAACUAUGAAACUGCCGUUGAUACUGUCGGUCUUGAGUAAAUUUGAAGUGGCUGGAAUAAGUAGUGUAGCGGUGAAAUGCAUAGAUAUUACUUAGAACACCAAUUGCGAAGGCAGGUCACUAAGAUUUAACUGACGCUGAGGGACGAAAGCGUGGGGAGCGAACAGGAUUAGAUACCCUGGUAGUCCACGCCGUAAACGAUGCUAACUCGUUUUUGGGGCGCAAGCUUCAGAGACCAAGCGAAAGUGAUAAGUUAGCCACCUGGGGAGUACGUCCGCAAGGAUGAAACUCAAAGGAAUUGACGGGGGCCCGCACAAGCGGUGGAUUAUGUGGUUUAAUUCGAUGAUACGCGAGGAACCUUACCAAGACUUAAAUGGGAAAUGACAGGCUUAGAAAUAGGCUUUUCUUCGGACAUUUUCCAAGGUGCUGCAUGGUUGUCGUCAGCUCGUGCCGUGAGGUGUUAGGUUAAGUCCUGCAACGAGCGCAACCCCUGUCACUAGUUGCUAACAUUUAGUUGAGGACUCUAGUGAGACUGCCUACGCAAGUAGAGAGGAAGGUGGGGAUGACGUCAAAUCAUCACGGCCCUUACGUCUUGGGCCACACACGUAAUACAAUGGCCGGUACAGAGGGCAGCUACCUAGCGAUAGGAUGCAAAUCUCGAAAGCCGGUCUCAGUUCGGAUUGGAGUCUGCAACUCGACUCUAUGAAGCUGGAAUCGCUAGUAAUCGCGCAUCAGCCAUGGCGCGGUGAAUACGUUCCCGGGCCUUGUACACACCGCCCGUCAAGCCAUGGAAGUUUGGGGUACCUGAAGUCGGUGACCGUAAAAGGAGCUGCCUAGGUAA
rnacentral:rRNA from 1 species